UGGCGUUGAUGACUAUCUUAGGACACCUUUGGAACAACCAUGAAAUAAGAGCUUGUUUUCCUGAGCCAU
ensembl:snoRNA SNORD58 Small nucleolar RNA SNORD58